GGGCGGCUAGCUCAGGGGUAGAGCAUCUGACUUUUAAUCAGAUGGUCGCGGGUUCGAAUCCCGCGCCGCUCA
rnacentral:tRNA from 1 species